rnacentral:rRNA from 1 species
AACGUAGGAAACGAACGUUAUCCGGAGUUACUGGGCGUAAAGGGCGUGCAGGCGGUCUGAUAAGUUCGGCGUGAAAUAUUCCGGCUUAACCGGGAUAGGUCGUCGGAGACUGUCGGACUAGAGGGUGAUAGAGGCGUGUGGAAUUCCGGGUGUAGUGGUGAAAUGCGUAGAGAUCCGGAGGAACACCAGUGGCGAAGGCGACACGCUGGGUCACACCUGACGCUAAAGCGCGACAGCAUGGGGAGCGAACGGG